rnacentral:rRNA from 1 species
UACGUAGGGACCGAGCGUUGUCCGGAUUCAUUGGGCGUAAAGAGCUCGUAGGCGGCUGUUCAAGUCGAACGUGAAAACUCGGAGCUCAACUCCGAGCCUGCGUUCGAGACUGGAUGGCUAGAGUCUGGUAGGGGGAUCUGGAAUUCCUGGUGUGAGCGGUGGGAAUGCGCAGAUAUCAGGAGGAACACCGGUGGCGAAGGCGGGAUCCUGGGCCAGUACUGACGCUGAGGAGCGAAAGCGUGGGGAGCAAACAGG